rnacentral:rRNA from 1 species
GGCCUCAAGACAGGUGCUGCAUGGCUGUCGUCAGCUCGUGUCGUGAGAUGUUGGGUUAAGUCCCCGCAACGAGACGCAACCCUUAUCAUUAGUUGCUAACAUUCAGUUGAGAACUCUAAUGAGACUGCCAGUGAUAAACUGGAGGAAGGUGGGGAUGACGUCAAAUCAUCAUGCCCCUUAUGACCUGGGCUACACACGUGCUACAAUGGCCGGUACAAAGAGUUGCGAAACUGUGAAGUUAAGCUAAUCUCAUAAAGCCGGUCUCAGUUCGGAUUGUAGUCUGCAACUCGACUACAUGAAGUCGGAAUCGCUAGUAAUCGCGAAUCAGAAUGUCGCGGUGAAUACGUUCUCGAGUCUU